rnacentral:lncRNA from 1 species
GCCCCGACCCCGCGGUCGCCGGGGCUCCCCUUCCUCUGUCCCAGUGCGCCCAGCCCCGCGCUCCGCACCCGGGCACCCCCGCGGGGUUCUCCUGAGUUCCUGGAGCUCCCGGGGCUGGCGCUCACGCCGUGAGAGGGGUGCGCCCUUAGGGGGGCGGGACGGACGGGGGGUUUCUACGGGAGGUAGGAAACGGGCGGCUUGCAAGGCGCGGGCUUAGGCCGGAGCCUGGUGGUGCGAGGUCCCCAGCUCGGAUUUCUCCCUGGUGGAGAGUCCCGGAGCAGAACAAACCAGCAGAGGCUCUGGAAAGGGUCCUCCUGAGCACGUGGCUCAUUCAUUCAUUCGACAAACGUUACCUGAGCGCCUGCCCACUCAUUGCCCGAGUGUGCUGGGAGCGCCGCACCAACUGCCUGGUAGGUGGGAGAAGGGACACGUCAGGUAACAAACAGCACAGGUAAGUGCCGGCCACUCAAAUGGGGUGGAAAGAGGUGGCACAGCGCUGCCGAGGGAGUGCGUUCCAGACAGGUGACCUCUUGCUUGGGUGCUGAAUGAGUGGAGUUUUCCAGAGAGACCAAGAGGAAGCAGCCGCAGAAACCUCAGCCCAGCUGGGCUUGCAGAAGCUAAUGCUAGAAUAGUUGUGGGACUCAGGAUCUGCUGAAGUCGGGGGAAGAGAGAAGUAGGGAAAGGAAAGCCCAGGCCACGCGUGGGGCUCAGGAACGGCAUCCUCGCCCGAGAAAAGAGAGGUUAAAACCAAGACAUGGACAAAGCCUCCGAAUGAAGGCAGCCCUUUAAAUGGAAUAAAUUUGGUUUCAUGGCACAUUAAUGGGGUGUCUUCUCUCCGAAGACACAGAGACAACUACAGUAGGUCUGGGGGCCGUCAGGGAUUGGAGGAACGAAGGUAAGAAAAGGAAGAAGGUAAGAAAAAGAGGUCCCUACCUCUGUGAGGUAGGGACAGUGCUGAACAGCAGGGCUGGGAGAGCCCACAGGGAGGUGGCCAGGAUGGCCACAGGGCCUGGGGAGGACCAGGUGGGGCACCAUCCUGCGGUAGAGAAUGCCCGUCACCUGCCCUAGGGGCCACCCAGAAUGCAGAUUAAAUAAGUAUUUGGGAAUGGCACAGGAGCUUUUCCAUUUUCGUGGGUUAGAGGAAAGCUGCUGCGUUCAAGAGGAUAACGUGGGACCUGAGCAUUCUGGUAAGUCAACCCCACAUUCAUGGAAAGCCACGGGCUCUGUUUUACUGAUAAGGAACUGAAGUCCCACAGAGGAAGUGGCCAGGCUCACUCACACACAGCAUGCACUUGAAGCUUUCUGUGGAAAUCAGAAACCUCCGGGGCUCAGGCGCUGUAGUGGUGGCCUGGUGACUCUGACCCCUUGAAGGAGAAGCAUCUGUGAAGGUGCUGUCCAGGACAAGUAGGGUGCUCUACGGUAAAGGACAUGGUGGCCUGACCUGCUCCAGAGCAGGGAGGCCUCCCUUGAGGAAAUAAGAUAAACCCAGACUUUAAGGAUAAGCAGAAACCAGCUAGGUGAACUGGAGUGGGAACAGCACGUGAAAAGGCCCUGGUUUAGGAAGGAGCACCACUCCUUCAGAGCACAGAAAGGCCAGGAUGGCCGAAGCAUAGGGAACAACAGGAAAGUGACAUAAAUUGAGGCUGCAGAGGUAGAAGAAGGGCCUUAUUGGUCGUGCUAGGAAUUUGGAAUUCUGCAAAGAAGCCUGGGAAACAGAUUUUGGUGACACUCGCCUUCUCUUUAAUGUGCAGUUUCAGUUCUGUUGGUGUGAUUCUGCAUUGGAGAUGGCGUGCUGUAACGAAUGGCCAGGAGCUUAAGAGUCAUGCAGACUUGGGAGGCCUGGCCUUGCCACGCCCAGCUGCAUGGCCAUCCUCCUCCUGUUUCUGGCCGUUCUGUUUCUAAACCUUGGGGUUCUGAUAUUCCUACAUGUAAACUAGGGGCUGUAAUAGGAAUCUCACAGUCAAAGUGGAGGAAGGAGGAGCUUGAGAUUGAAAAAUCAGUUUGAGAAGCAGCCACCUUGACUGGCUUCACUCUAAUAGCCUGGACGCUGCCUCCACACUCCAGGUGCACUGCUCAGCAUUCUCCAAGAAGAUCAUUAAGGCAGACCCUACGUGUUAAAUUUCAAUCAGUUUCAUUGAGCAAAUAUGCUGUUAAAUAGAGACUGCUGUGUGCUGCGUCAGUGUGCCUUAUGGGCAAAUGUGAUGGUGACUAUAAAUGCAGACCAAGCAGUCCUUCCCACACUGUGUACACAAAGAAAGGAGCUCUGGAACUGGGAGCCAGGACAUCUGCAGGAGGAGAAUUCUGAAGUGAAAGGAGGCCUGGAUAUUGGUUGCAAGGCCUUGUCCCUGGAGCCUGGAUGCUCUCAUACCUUCUACAUCUGGGCCUCUGGGUCCAGGACAGUGCCAGGGAGAGUUCAUAGAAACAAAUGUGUUGAAGACCUUAGCGGUUGUCUGACUCUGAGACAGUUACCUGGCCACUCUUAAGUUUCCUCAUUUUUUUUUUAAUUUUACUUUAAGUUGCGGGAUACAUGUGCAGAACGUGCAGGUUUGUUACAUAGGUAUGCAUGUGCCAUGGUGGUUUGCUGCACCUGUCAACCUUUCAUCUAGGUUUUAAGCCCCUCAUGCAUUAGAUAUUUGUCCUAAUGCUCUCCUUCCCCUUGGCCCCCUGUCAGGUCCUGGUGUGUGUGUUGUCUGGCCCCCACCGUGUCCAUGUGUUCCUAUUGUUCAUCUCCCAUUUAUGAGUGAGAAUAUGUGGUGUUUGGCUUUCUCUUCCUGUGUUAGUUUGCUGAGGAUGAUGGUUUCCAGCUUCAUCCAUGUCCCUGCAGAGGACAUGAUCUCAUCCUUUUCAUGGCUGCAUAGUAUUCCGUGUUGUGUAUAUACCACAUUUUCUUUAUCCAGUCUUUCAUUGGUGGACAUUUGGGUUGGUUUCAUGUCUUUGCUAUUGUAAAUAGUGCUGCAAUAAACAUUAUGUGUGCAUGU